rfam:Haemonchus placei strain MHpl1 genome assembly, scaffold: HPLM_scaffold0001199
GGCCCAAGUUUGAAGUAGAGUAGAUUAGAGGAUCAUCUGACCCUACUAAUUUACACUACUUCGAGUUUGUGCCC